ensembl:lncRNA
UUUAGCCCUAAGGGUAAUUUUAGACGUAAGGGUAGUUUUAGCCCUAAGGGUAAUUUUAGACGUAAGGGUAGUUUUAGCCCUAAGGGUAAUUUUAGACGUAAGGGUAGUUUUAGCCCUAAGGGUGAUUAUGGCUUAGGUUUAGUCGUACGGGUAGUUGCGGCGUAGGUUUAUUCCUAAGUGUAAUUUUAUUCCCAAGGGUAGUUUUAGCCCUAAGGGUAUUUUAGUCCUGGGGGUAAUUACGGCGUAGGUUUAGUCGUACGGGUAAUUUUAGUAAAAGGGUAGUUUUAGCCCUAAGGGUAUUUUAGUCCUAGGGGUAGUUUUAGUCCUAAGGGUAAUUACGGCGUAGGUUUAGUCAUACGGGUAGUUUUAUUCCUAAAGGUAAUUGCAGGGUAGUUAUAGCCCUAAGGGUAAUUGCAGGGUAGUGUUAGCCCUAAGGGUAAUUGCAGGGUAGUUUUAUUCCUAAGGGUAAUUGCAGGGUAGUUUUAUUACUAAGGGUAAUUGCAGGGUAGUUAUAGCCCUAAGGGCAGCUACGGUGUAGUGAUUUACCAACACUUCGGAGGGAACUGUUGACGUUCCUGGUGUUUAUGUAAAUGUUGAAGGUAGACGUGAACAGAUCCUAGAUAAAUCGCCAGUCACUAGCUAGCUCAUCAUCCAUGUUUCUCGGUUGCCUAGCG